AAUUCUUCUCGAUUUUGACAGGAAAAAAAUCGAGUUAACUAGAUUCAGAUUUUCUCCACAUCUUAAAUUUGGGGGUGAGGGCAAGGGUGAUUUUGGUAAUGCUGAUAUCUGCUCUGCUCGUACAACUAUUAUAAGAAGAAAAUCCUAUUUUCACUUCUCACUCUCAUUUUGAUUCUUAGUUCUCGUAUAGUUUCUCUCUCACACCACUCACUUACGACACAAAACCUUCACUUCACUUGUUCCCUCUCACGAUCACGCACCAUUGUUCGUCAAUAGCACACUGCCACCACACACAACACACUGCAUUGUUAUCGCCAUUCACACACUGGUACCAUCGUCUCACUUCUCGCCGUGACGAUGCUCGCGUGCCCCCCUACUUGCACGCCGCCACCAGCCCACCGCACAAAAAGUUGAAGGCUUGAAGCACCAAUAUAUGGUCCCGUCGAUUUGUAUGUCAUGACUACUGUUGUUUCUAGUCUUUCAUGGGCUCUUGAGAUUUGUAGAGAAGAAAUAGAAUAAUGGAAGUUUCUUGAACAGUCCUUGAGAGAGAUCUCUAUCAUUUUCAAAGAAGUUUACACAUUAGACUUUGCUUUGUCGUUACUUGUUACAUGCCCAUUAUAAUUGAACAUACAGAAUCUGCAUCAGAAACAUCAGGGUGGGAUCAAGAUGAAAUCAACAAGUACAGGAAAGAAUAUGGAGACAUGAAACUUUUCAAGUGGAAAUUUGGAAAGAAGUACACCUCAUUAAUCUAAACUUCUGCAAUCGCUAUGAUCUAGUUUGGAAGGAAGACAUAGAUGGUUUCUUUCCAACAAAAUCCAUGAAAAGAUAUAUAGUGUCAAAGUCAUCAAAGUAUGAGAAGAAAGAAACUCCCUUUUGAGGAAUUUAGAAAGAUCAAAAUCUCUAAAAGGAACGCUCCUGCCAAGUUCAGUACAAGCUUUGUGAUAAGGCAUUUUUUAUUUUUCUGUGGACUUUGAAGGUUUGGAACCUUAGAAUGGACCACAUAUAGAGUCAUGGCCCAAGGAAACAAAUAGAUCCAUGGCGUGUACAGUUUUGGGAUGCUUUGCUUUGAGAUUCUAUGUUCUAAGUUCCAACUGGAAAAGUUCCUUUCCAAGAUAGGCAUCACCAAGGGAAGACAUUAGACAAGGUUUGUGCUAAUGAAAUCAGGGACAUUCAACUUUUUAAAUAUUGUAAUUUUUUAAUGUUUUCUUUUUCAUGUCUAUUCUGUGAUUCUGCAGUAUACACUAUUUUCCCAUAAUUUUAGCGAAACAAUUGAAAAAGGAAAAGCAAAA